GUUUUAAACUUAUCAUUUAAAGUAUCUUGUGAAUAAAACUAUUUUGUUAUACUAUUUACCUGUAUUUAACUAUAUUUUUGGCGCAAUUGAAAUGUUUCAUUUUGGCGCCAAUGAAAUAUGGUUUGUAGCGAAAAUUAAAGAUUUUUUUGGCGCAAAAUAAAUGCCAAUUGAGGUGCAUCGUGUAGGUCUAAUACAAAACCACUGUACAAAAGAGCACUGUACAAAAAGAGGUAAAUAUUCAUGACCCUUUUAACCCGAACUCCUACGUCGUUCGGGUUUAUUAGGGUCACCAGAGCUGUGCAGAUUAAAUCGUAUAUAUACCGACUUGCUUGGUCAAUAACUAUAACUUAACAUGUUCUCGUCUUGAAUAUUCACAUAAUUCGACACUGGACUUUAAAUAUACACCCACUAUCACAUGUAUCAUUAUCAUCCAGUUUUAAGUAUGGAUAUAAAUUGUUAGGCUGUGAAUAUAUGAAAACUUGAUUAAAAAAUAGCCCUAGCCCUGUCGUGAAAAAAAAUCAUUAA
rnacentral:lncRNA from 1 species